CUGCUGCCCUCCAGAGGCUGUGAAGAGUUGCAGCAGACUUCAGCUUCAGUGUUGUGUGGAGGAAACUACAUUUAUUCACAGCAACAACAUGAAGAUCAUUCAGCUUCAGCUCUAUGUAUUAAUCUGUUGUCAGUAUGCAGUGUCAGAGCUAUUAACUGAUCUGGGAUCAAAUGUGAUCAUAAACUGUGAUCUUGAUGAAACUGAGGUUUAUUGGAUUUUACUGAAAGCAGCAGAUCCUCCAACAGUCAUUCUACG